rnacentral:rRNA from 1 species
UGGGGAAUCUUGCACAAUGGGGGAAACCCUGAUGCAGCGACGCCGCGUGAGCGAUGAAGCCCUUCGGGGUGUAAAGCUCUUUCGGCAGGGAAGAUUAUGACGGUACCUGCAGAAGCAGCUGCGGCUAACUACGUGCCAGCAGCCGCGGUAAUACGUAGGCAGCAAGCGUUGUUCGGAGUUACUGGGCGUAAAGGGUGUGUAGGCGGUCCUUUAAGUUUGGUGUGAAAUCUCCCGGCUUAACCGGGAGGGUGCGCCGAAAACUGAGGGGCUAGAGUGCGGGAGAGGAGAGUGGAAUUCCUGGUGUAGCGGUGAAAUGCGUAGAUAUCAGGAGGAACACCGGUGGUGUAGACGGCUCUCUGGACCGUAACUGACGCUGAAACACGAAAGCGUGGGUAGCAAACA